rnacentral:lncRNA from 1 species
CUGCUCCAGCUUUCCUGGACCCACGACAGCAGAGGAUAUCGUGGUGACAAGAAAGAGCCUUCUGCCCAUUUAGGAAGGCAAACUCCCUACUUUGCUCCCUGAGGACAGAUACCAAUAAUCAGAUGCCUAUUUACAUCUGUACAAAAGUUGGGACU